rnacentral:tRNA from 1 species
GGUUAUGGCUCAGUGGUAAAGCACUUGCUUAGCAUGUGUGAGGCACUGGGUUCAAUUCUCAGCACCA